UACGUAGGGACCGAGCGUUGUCCGGAAUCAUUGGGCGUAAAGAGCGUGUAGGCGGCCUUUUAAGUCCUGCGUGAAAUCCUGCGGCUCAACCGCAGACGGUCGUGGGAAACUGGAAGGCUAGAGUGCGGGAGAGGAGAGUGGAAUUCCCGGUGUAGCGGUGAAAUGCGCAGAUAUCGGGAAGAACACCAGUGGCGAAGGCGGCUCACUGGCCCGAUACUGACGCUGAGGCACGAAAGCGUGGGGAGCAAACAGG
rnacentral:rRNA from 1 species